rnacentral:rRNA from 1 species
AGUGAACGCUGGCGGUAGGCCUAACACAUGCAAGUCGAACGGCAGCACAGUAAGAGCUUGCUCUUACGGGUGGCGAGUGGCGGACGGGUGAGGAAUACAUCGGAAUCUACUUUUUCGUGGGGGAUAACGUAGGGAAACUUACGCUAAUACCGCAUACGACCUACGGGUGAAAGCAGGGGAUCUUCGGACCUUGCGCGAUUGAAUGAGCCGAUGUCGGAUUAGCUAGUUGGCGGGGUAAAGGCCCACCAAGGCGACGAUCCGUAGCUGGUCUGAGAGGAUGAUAAGCCACAUGGGAACUGAGACACGACACAGCCCCCGACGGGAGGCAGCAGUGGGGAAGUUUGAACAAUGGGCGCAAGCCGUACACACCCAUCCCGGGGGGGGGAAAACGGCCUGCGGGUUCUAAAGCCUUUUUGUGGGAAAAAAAAAGCAGCAGUUUAAUACCCCGCUUUUCUGACGGUACCAAAAAAAUAAACCCGGACUAGCUUGGUC